rnacentral:rRNA from 1 species
CACGUAGGGUGCGAGCGUUGUCCGGAAUUAUUGGGCGUAAAGAGCUCGUAGGCGGUGUGUCGCGUCGGCCGUGAAAACCUGCAGCUUAACUGUGGGCUUGCGGUCGAUACGGGCAUCACUGGAGUUCGGCAGGGGAGACUGGAAUUCCUGGUGUAGCGGUGAAAUGCGCAGAGAUCCGGAGGAACACCAGAGGCGAAGGCGGCCUACUGGGUCAGUACUGACGCUGAGCCGCGAAAGCCAGGGGAGCGAACGGG